rnacentral:lncRNA from 1 species
UCGAAUAAUCUUUAUUAAAAUUAGUUCCUAUAUAAAUAUAUAAAUAAAGAUACACGAAACUCCUCUACUUCAAUGUCAACAUACAGUAACGAUAAAUUAAAUAAAAGUUGAUAAGCACACGUUAUUAAUCUUUUUAAUGGAUCACUUUAAAUUAAAAUCUCAUCAUGUAUCGUUAUAUGGAGACACGUAUGAGCAAUUUAAAAAAAUAAAAAAAAAUCUCAAAGACCCAGUUUCGAUCGAGUAAUGCUAAACAGCCACAUUGUGGUCACCCACAAUUUACCUAAAUAAAAAAUAAUUUAAUUCAUUUAACUUAU